CCCAGUCGGAGGUGGGCGCACAUGCUGAGUGUGUCCUGAGCAUGCCGCUGUGGUGGGAGCGCACCUUGCCGAGUGCUUCCAGUGACGUUUUUCUGCCUCUCACCACGUGGCUGCCUGGCUUCUGCCCGGGAUCAGACCUGGUUUCCAGGAGCAUCUCCUUUCUUGGAUGCUGCUCGCUUCUGUACCGAGGGAUGCUGCUGGUUUGCCCCUCUGUUUGCCGUGUCCUGCGUUAACGGCACGUGGGGGGGUUGGUCUUGGAUGGACGACAGAAUGCAAGAGCGGAAGCUGCAGCUAAGCGAAUUCACAUCAGAAAUAAGGUAUUGGAAAUACGCGGAGUUAUUGCCUCUGGUACUGCCCAGCGCUGGGCUGGGAUGUGAAGGGAGAGGAUGCUCCGUUGCUUACAUCUAGGUGGGAAGCGUUU